GGUGAUCGCUGGCGGCGUGCUUAACACAUGCAAGUCGAGCGAGAUCUGGCAGUGUAUCGUCAGGUCUAGCGGCAGACGGGUGAGUAAUACUUGGGCAAUCUGCCCUUGAGUGGGAAACAACCUUCCGAAAGGAGGGCUAAUGUCCCAUAAGACCACGGGAUGGCAUCAUCCAGAGGUCAAAGCUCCGUAAGGGCGCUUGAGGAGGAGCCUGAGUCCAUCAUGGUAGUUGGUGAGGUAAUGGCUCACCAAGCCUUUGACGGGUAGCCGGCCUGAAAGGGUGAUCGGCCACACUGGCACUGAGACACGGGCCAGACUCCUACGGGAGGCAGCAGUGGGAAUUUUGGACAAUGGGGCAACCCUGAUCCAGCGACGCCGCGUGAAGGAUGAAGGUCUUCGGAUU
rnacentral:rRNA from 1 species